GACGAACGCUGGCGGCGUGCUUAACACAUGCAAGUCGAACGGAAAGGCCCUGCUUUUGUGGGGUGCUCGAGUGGCGAACGGGUGAGUAACACGUGAGUAACCUGCCCUUGACUUUGGGAUAACUUCAGGAAACUGGGGCUAAUACCGGAUAGGAGCUCCUGCUGCAUGGGGGGGGUUGGAAAGAUUCGGCGGUUGGGGAUGGGCUCGCGGCUUAUCAGCUUGUUGGGGGGGUAGUGGCUUACCAAGGCUUUGACGGGUAGCCGGCCUGAGAGGGUGACCGGCCACAUUGGGCCUGCGAUACGGCCCAGACUCCUACGGGCGGCAGCAGUGGGGAAUAUUGCACAAUGGGCGGAAGCCUGAUGCAGCAACGCCGCGUGCGGGAUGCCGGCCUUCGGGUUGUAAACCGCUUUCGCCUGUGACGAAGCGUGAGUGACGGUAAUGGGUAAAGAAGCACCGGCUAACUACGUG
rnacentral:rRNA from 1 species